AUGUUUGACUUCAUUGUAGGUAUUGGUCAGCGGCCUGAUGUGAUUAUGUACAAUUCACUGAUGGAUGGAUAUUGCCUUGUUGGCAAAGUGGAGGAAGCACUGAGAGUACUUGAUGCUAUGAAGUCUGCUGGCCUCCAACCUGAUGCUUUUACAUACGGUAUACUUCUUAAUGGCUACUGUAAAAUUGGAAGGAUCGCCGCUGGAUUGAGUCUUUUCAUGGAAAUGUCACUCAGCAGGGUUAAGCCCACGACUAUUAUGUACAACAUUAUACUUGAUGGGCUGUUUCGCUCCGGGAGAACAGUUUCUGCAAAGGAAAAAUUCCGUACGAUGAGCGAAAGUGGCAUACCAGUGGGCAUUGACACAUACAACAUAGUUCUUAAUGGACUUUGCAAAAACAAUUGCACUGAUGAAGCAAUAGAGCUGUUCAAGAAAUUACGUGCAACGAACGUGAAGAUUGAUGUCAUAACAUUCAGUACCAUGAUUUCUGCAAUGUUUAAAACUAGGAGAAUUGAAGAGGCCAAGGAUUUGUUUGCUACUAUAUCAGCCAUUGGGUUGGUGCCUUCUGUUGUGACUUACAGUUUAAUGAUGACGAAUUUCAUAAAAGAAGGGUUGCUGGCAGAUGCUGAUGAUAUGUUUUUAGCAAUGGAGAAGGCUGGCUGUGCUCCUGACUCCAGGCUGCUAAAUCAAGUGGUCAGGGUAUUUCUGAAGAAUGGUGAAGUUGUAAAGGCUGUGACUUAUCUCGCUAAACUUGAUGCUAAACAGCUGUCAGUUGAAGCUUCAACGAUUUCGUUAAUAGUAUCUCUCUUCUCAAGGAAAGGGAAAUUAAGGGAGCACGUAAAAUUGCUUCCGGUAAAGUACCAGCCUCCUGAGAUGUUGGGCUGA
rnacentral:rRNA from 1 species